AUGUCGAUGGCGCAGCAGGGACAGGGGGCGGCGACGUCGCUGCCACCGGGGUUCCGGUUCCACCCGACGGACGAGGAGCUGAUCCUGCACUACCUCCGCAACCGCGCCGCCGCCGCGCCGUGCCCGGUCCCCAUCAUCGCCGACGUCGACAUCUACAAGUUCGACCCAUGGGACCUCCCCUCCCAGGCGGUGUACGGCGACUGCGAGUGGUACUUCUUCAGCCCGCGGGACCGCAAGUACCCCAACGGCAUCCGCCCCAACCGCGCCGCCGGCUCCGGCUACUGGAAGGCCACCGGCACCGACAAGCCCAUCCACGACGCCGCCACCGGCCAGGGCGUCGGCGUCAAGAAGGCGCUCGUCUUCUACACGGGCCGCCCGCCCAAGGGCACCAAGACGGCCUGGAUCAUGCACGAGUACCGCCUCGCCGCCGACCCCCUCGCCGCCGCCGUCAACACCUACAAGCCCAUCAAGUUCCGCAACGUCUCCAUGAGGCUCGAUGACUGGGUGUUGUGCCGGAUCUACAAGAAGACAGGCCUGGCGUCGCCGAUGGUGCCGCCGCUCGCGGACUACGACCACAUGGCCGACCACGACGACCUCUCCAGCGGCGGCACCUUCACCGACGCCACCUGCAGACCCAUGAUAAGGCAGCAGCACCACCAGCAGCCACACGCCGGGAGGCUCCCGACGUUCCCGUCCUUCUCCGAGCUGUUCGACGACUACGCGUUCGGGCAGAACUUGGACACCUACGUCGAGCACGGCGCCACCCACCACCUCGCCGUCCAUCCCUCCCUGAACCAGCUCCUCCCCGUCGGCGACAGCAGGCACGUAGUGGAGCCGUCGUACUACUCGCCCUCGUCGUCGUCGCCGGACGCCAGCGGCGGGAGCGCGGGGAAACGCAAGGCGGCGAGCCCGGAAGAACCCGGCACGCACCAGCCGUCGGCCAAGAAGCUCAACGGGUCGUGCUUCGACGCGCCGCCGCAGUCGGCGAAUGGCUGGCAGGCCGUGGCGUCCGUGCUGGGCGGCCUCAACCAUCACAUGCUUCCUCAGUUCUAA
rnacentral:rRNA from 1 species